rnacentral:rRNA from 1 species
GGAUUAGAUACCCUGGUAGUCCACGCCGUAAACUAUCAAUACUCGUUCUCAGCCCUUUAGGGUUGGGGACUAAGCGAAAGUGAUAAGUAUUGCACCUGGGGAGUACGAUCGCAAGGUUGAAACUCAAAGGAAUUGACGGGGGCCCGCACAAGCGGUGGAGCAUGUGGUUUAAUUCGAUGAUACGCGAGGAACCUUACCAGGGCUUAAAUGUAGAGGGAAUAGUGUGGAAACAUGCUAGUCUUCGGACCGUCUACAAGGUGCUGCAUGGCUGUCGUCAGCUCGUGCUG